UUGGAAACUAGUAUGAACGGUUGAAUAUAUCAAAUAAGUUUGUUUACUUUUUUUGUAAAUUAAAGAUAAAGUAAGAAUUCUUUAAUAGAUUAAGGGACGAUAAGACCCUAAAAGCUUUAUUAGUAGUAUAAAGUUAAUGGUAUUAAAAAAAUAAAUUUACUGGGGCAGUACUUUUAUAUGCACGCAUAUAUUCAAAGAAUAGUGAAAGGUCCUUUAAAUAAAGAUUAUACGAGCAAGUUACUUUAGGGAUAACAGUGUAAUAUAUUUGGGGAGACCGAAUCUAUAAAUAUGAUUGCAACCUCGAUGUUGAAUUAGAGUUUCUAUACGAGCAGAAUACGAUUUAGAAAGUUUGUUCAACUUUUAAAUCUCUACAUGAUCUGAGUUCAAACCGG
rnacentral:rRNA from 1 species